rnacentral:rRNA from 1 species
UACGUAGGGGGCAAGCGUUGUCCGGAUUUAUUGGGCGUAAAGAGCGUGUAGGCGGCUUGGUAGGUCCGCUGUGAAAACUCGAGGCUCAACCUCGAGAUGUCGGCGGAAACCGUCUGGCUAGAGUCCGGAAGAGGAGAGUGGAAUUCCUGGUGUAGCGGUGAAAUGCGCAGAUAUCAGGAAGAACACCUAUGGCGAAGGCAGCUCUCUGGGACGGUACUGACGCUGAGACGCGAAAGCGUGGGGAGCGAGCAGG